rnacentral:rRNA from 1 species
UACGUAGGGUGCGAGCGUUGUCCGGAAUUAUUGGGCGUAAAGGGCGCGUAGGCGGUUGGAUAAGUCAGCUGUGAAAACCACGAGCUUAACUCGUGGCCUGCAGUUGAGACUGUCUGGCUUGAGUGUGGGAGAGGAGAGUGGAAUUCCUGGUGUAGCGGUGAAAUGCGUAGAUAUCAGGAGGAACACCGGUGGCGAAGGCGGCUCUCUGGACCACAACUGACGCUGAGGCGCGAAAGCUAGGGGAGCAAACAGG